rnacentral:rRNA from 1 species
UGUAAGCGUAUACCAAAGUUGUUGCAGUUAAAACGCUCGUAGUCGGACUUUGGAAGUUCCGGAUGUGUGCACGUCGUGUGCGCACUUCGCGGGGAUUGCUUUUGUGGUCUUGCGUAGGAUGAGGCACUUUUAUUAGUGAACGUCCUCACGCAACCACUUUUUACUGUGAGAAAAUCAGAGUGCUCAAAGCAGGCAUUUGCCGUGAAUGUAUUAGCAUGGAAUAAUAGAAUAGGACUUGGUUCUAUUUUGUUGGUUUGUUGGGACUGAGUAAUGAUUAAGAGGGACAGUUGGGGGCAUUUGUAUUUCGGUGCUAGAGGUGAAAUUCUUAGAUUACCGAAAGACAAACUGCUGCGAAAGCGUCUGCCAAGGAUGUUUUCAUUGA